rnacentral:rRNA from 1 species
AUUGAACGCUGGCGGCAUGCUUUACACAUGCAAGUCGAACGGCAGCGCGGGCUUCGGCCUGGCUGCGAGUGGCGCACGGGUGAGUAUUGCAUCGGAACGUCCCCAGUUGUGGGGGAUAACCCGUCCAAGGCCGGAUUAAUACCGCAUACUACCUGCGCCUGCAACCGGGGGGGCGAAAGGCCUCUCGCUCUUGUGGCGACCGAUGCCGGAUUAGUUAGCUGGUGGGGUAAAGGCUUACCUAGGCGGCGAUCCGUGGCUGGAAUGAGAGGACGACUAGCCACACUGGGACUGAGACACGGCACAGAGUCCUACGGGAGGCAGCAGUGGGGAAUUGUGGACAAGGGGGGCAAAACUGAUCAAGACAGGCCGCGGGCGGGAAGAAGGACUUCGGGUGGGAAACCGCUUUUGUUCGGGAAGAAAUCCUCUGGGCUAAUAACCAGGGGGGAUGAAGGUAAAGGAAGAAUAAGCAACGGCUAACUAAGUG